rnacentral:rRNA from 1 species
GACGAACGCUGGCGGCGUGCUUAACACAUGCAAGUCGAACGGAAAGGCCCUGCUUUUGUGGGGUGCUCGAGUGGCGAAAGGGUGAGAAACACGAGAGUAACCUGCCCUUGCCUUUGGGAUAACUUCAGGAAACUGGGGCUACUACCGGAUAGGAGCUCCUGCUGCAUGGUGGGGGUUGGAAAGUUUGGGAGGUUGGGGAUGGACUCGGGGCUUAUCAGCUUGUUGGUGGGGUAGUGGCUUACCAAGGCUGUGACGGGUAGCCGGCCUGAGAGGGUGACCGGCGACAUUGGGACUGCGAUACGGCGCAGACGCCGACGGGAGGCAGCAGUGGGGAAUAUUGCACAAUGGGCGGAAGCCUGAUGCAGCAACGCCGCGUGCGGGAUGACGGCCUUCGGGUUGUAAACCGCUUUCGCCUGUGACGAAGCGUGAGUGACGGUAAUGGGUAAAGAAGCACCGGCUAACUACGUG